UNGUUGGUGGGGUAACGGCCUACCAAGGCGAUUACGGGUAGCCGGCCUGAGAGGGCGACCGGCCACACUGGGACUGAGACACGGCCCAGACUCCUGCGGGAGGCAGCAGUGGGGAAUAUUGCGCAAUGGGCGAAAGCCUGACGCAGCGACGCCGCGUGGGGGAUGACGGCCUUCGGGUUGUAAACCUCUUUUACCACCAACGCAGGCUCGAAGUUCUCUUCGGGUUGACGGUAGGUGGGGAAUAAGGACCGGCUAACUACGUGCCAGCAGCCGCGGUAAUACGUAGGGUCCGAGCGUUGUCCGGAAUUAUUGGGCGUAAAGAGCUCGUAGGCGGCGUGUCACGUCUGCUGUGAAAGACCGGGGCUUAACUCCGGUUCUGCAGUGGAUACGGGCAUGCUAGAGGUAGGUAGGGGAGACUGGAAUUCCUGGUGUAGCGGUGAAAUGCGCAGAUAUCAGGAGGAACACCGGUGGCGAAGGCGGGUCUCUGGGCCUUACCUGACGCUGAGGAGCGAAAGCAUGGGGAGCGAACAGGAUUAGAUACCCUGGUAGUCCAUGCCGUAANCGUUGGGCGCUAGGUGUGGGGACUUUCCACGGUUUCCGCGCCGUANCUAACGCAUUNNNCGCCCCGCCUGGGGAGUACGGCCGCANGNCUAA
rnacentral:rRNA from 1 species